GGCCAACAAGUGAGACUAUAUAAUAUAUGAAAAUGAGAAAGUUCCUUCAACUCAAAAUCUAAUUCAUCGUUUCAAAAAUAUUCCAUCAAAUCUCGAAAUCAACAAGGUAAUAAAUUAGUACUAUAACACUGGGACAUCAAAAAUGACGAGCUGUUAUAACCACAGAAUGAAGAAGAUUCGGACUCUAGCAUAACACUAAACAAUAGCAUUGGCUGCACUUGCGAUUCUAGGCCACAAAUCUGCACACUCCUUUCCGAUUGGACCAGUGAUUGCAGAACCUUUCAUUUCACCUUUAGGGUUCACAAUCACUCCUGCAUUAUCUUCGAAGUACAUGAAAACCCCAUCCUUUCGGCGCCAUGGCUUGCGC
rnacentral:misc_RNA from 1 species